rnacentral:rRNA from 1 species
GAUCCUGGCUCAGGAUAAACGCUGGCGGCGCACAUAAGACAUGCAAGUCGAACGGACUUAACCAUUAGUUUACUAUUGGAGCGGUUAGUGGCGGACUGGUGAGUAACACGUAAGCAACCUGCCUAUCAGAGGGGAACAACAGUUAGAAAUGACUGCUAAUACCGCAUAUGCCUUAAUUACCACAUGGUAGUAGAGGGAAAGGAGCAAUCUGCUGAUAGAUGGGCUUGCGU